CUGAAACGAAUUAACAUUCAACAUCAGAAUUCACCUUAUAAUACCCAUUCCCACGUUCACUGCUUUAUUAAUUGUUUCCUUCUUAACAUUCAACGUUUUACACCAAUUCACUAUUUCAUUUUUCUUUUUUUUCUUUUUGUAAACAGUGUAACAACAUAGUAGAGACGUGGUCAUCGAAUCGCCGGUGAUCUCUCAAAAAAACAUAUAGAUGGCGUGGAUCAUUAAAAGCAGCGUUUUCAAAGCCGAAGUAAAUUUCAAUUGGUCGAGAGGGCGCCAUAUCGGGGUCGGUAAUCGAAUAAUCGACCGUUCGCGCUUUGAAUGCGCCAUUGUGCGCUUGCACGCGUGCGCAUACAACCUAAAGUAAAUGCGACGCAGUGGAAAAAGGUGCCGUUACGUGAAGUCGUGUGGCUAUUAACUCUCAACGAAAUUGAACGAGAUCCGAUCUCGCACUCCCACGCGGGAUACGCGCGAGCGUAAGAGGAAAUAUCAGCAUCGAGGAAUAUAAUCUUGCUGAAACUUCGAUGCUCUGUGGUCGAUUAUCACAAGAACCGGCAAAAAUGUCGCUCGUAAAUUUCUCGCGGUAUUACUAGCGUUAUUCGCAAUGGAAGGCAAAGGAAAUUCGAGAUUUAUCGAUUAUAAGAAGAAGUUUUUGUAACUAGUAUUUGAUAUUUCGGCUUUAAGAAUAUCUUUAUUGAUUCUUUGUCGAUGGAUAAUAUGUGUAAUUUGUGAAAAAUGAAUAGUGUAUUAUUGUUAUUAAAAUUUUCUUGUUCUGAUUGUUGCGAGUGAAGAUUGUCAAAAUUUUAGACAUCCGGCGCGACGAAAAUCAGAUCGUGAUAUGGAACGUUCUCACGGCGGAAGGGUCGUGCGCAUGCGCUUUAGCAUGUCCACCUGCGUAUACAUACACGGCUCGCUUGUAAAAUCGACUUACGCAACCGUCGCACGAGCGACAUACAACCAAGAACUUUCCAGUGGGGAAUCGGACCCAAGGAAUCGGCAUCUGCGUCGCAGCUAUGCUCGCGACAAGUGCUCGUACCACUCACCGAGUGAGUCACUUCUCCCAUGCUUGCAGAUAAGCGCGUUGGAAGAACGUGGUCGGAUCCGGAAUCAUAGAGUGAGAGGAAUAGUAGAUAUACAUGAUUAUGAAGAAUGAGAGAGAGGGAGGGAGAGAGAGAGAGGGAGCGCGGAAGAUGCUGGACAAGAGAGAGGAGAUCCUAGAGAGAGCAAAGUGAGUGGGUUAGAGUGAGUAAGGUCAGGUGAGAAAGAGAAUGUGAAAAAUUGCAGAGGAGACAAGAACUUCGGAGGAAAUGAAGAAGAAGGAGAAGAGGAUUUUUGAGAUUUGUAAUGAGUAAGUGCAGGAUUUGAAAAAGAGAAAGAAAAAGGAAGAAUGAUAAUAUGAUACAUUGAUAUAAAAAAACAUGCAUGAAAAAUAAUGCAAAAAAAUUCCAAUAUCAGAACUCAAAGAGUCAGAUAAACGCAUGCAUGGAAAGUAAACAUCGUAGAUAAAAUUAUAAUAAGACAAAAAAGAGAGGCACAGAGGAAGCAGCCAUGAAGAAGAAUCCAAUAUAUCCGCGAAGAGAAUCGAAAAGAGAAGUAUAGCGAAUCGAGCAGGUACCCAAAGAAACGAGAGCAAAAUGACCUGUCGAGGUGCACAAGAGAGGUUCACCGGGAGGAAACGGAUGGCAGAAGAGAGGUUAUAAGAAGAAGAGGAAGAAGGGAUGGGAGGGGGAGGGGGGAGAGACAGUUGCGUACAGUCGCGCAGGUAGAUAGGUGAUACAUUGGCAGCGGUCGAGUUGGCAGUGUAGCAUGCAGCAAAGUGCAUUCGGUGCACGCCAGUGCACCCAGAUAGCGGGGGCAUCGAGAGAGGAGAGAGAGAGGCGAGCGAGUGGCCAAGCUAGCGAGCAGUCAGCCAGUGAGGCAGGCGUGCCCGAUGGUUACGGCAAUCACCGCACAUGCUCCCAAGCUCCUGACCACGAAGAACACAAACAAAGGCAAUGCUCACGAAACUGCUAUCCAUUUAUUCCAUCGGUCAAAGAAAACCACUAUGGGCUGCCUUCGUGUCCAACCUGUGUCUCUGUCACGAUCUAACGACCAUUGAUAGUUAAUUGUUAAUUAAUUGUUAGUUGAAAUAGUAGGGACUUUCUGCGAUGAUCUCAUAUAAUUUCAAAGAAAUUAUUUCAGAAUAAGUUUUCGUCACUUUUUUUGAAACUAACGUAUCUAUUUUAUUUAAAAAAAAAACUAUCCAUGAGAUAUUUGUAAAUUAAAUAUUUCU